rnacentral:rRNA from 1 species
GGACCCGCACAAGUAGUGGAGCAUGUGGUUUAAUUCGAAGAUACGCGCAGAACCUUACCAACACUUGACAUGUUCGUCGCGACUUUAAGAGAUUAAAGUUUUCGGUUCGGCCGGACGAAACACAGGUGCUGCAUGGCUGUCGUCAGCUCGUGUCGUGAGAUGUUGGGUUAAGUCCCGCAACGAGCGCAACCCUCACUUUUAGUUGCCAUCAUUUAGUUGGGCACUCUGAAAAGAACUGCCAGUGAUAAGCUGGAGGAAGGUGGGGAUGACGUCAAAGUCCUCAUGGGCCCUUACGUGUUGGGCUACACACGUGCUACAAUGGUAUCUACAACAGGAAGCAAGACGGCGACGUUUAGCAAAA